rnacentral:rRNA from 1 species
ACGUAGGGUGCGAGCGUUAUCCGGAUUUACUGGGUUUAAAGGGUGCGUAGGCGGGUAUGUAAGUCAGUGGUGAAAUCCCCGAGCUUAACUUGGGAACUGCCUUUGUUACUAUAUAUCUUGAAUGUGGUAGAGGUGAGUAGAAUAUCACGUGUAGCAGUGAAAUGCUUAGAGAUGUGAAGGAACACCGAUGGCGAAGGCAGCCCACUAGGAUAACAUUGACGCUCAUGCACGAAAGCGUGGGGAUCAAACAG